rnacentral:ncRNA from 1 species
AAUUGUAAGAGUUUGAUCCUGGCUCAGAAUGAACGUUAAUAGUCAACAUAACACAUGCUAGUUUAAUAUAUUUUAAAAAUUUAAAAUAUAUAGCGAACGGGUGAGUAUUCAUAUAAAAAUAAAUCUUAAAAAUAUUGUUAAAUACAUAAAAUUAAAUUAUUUUAAGAAAAGUUUAUAAAGGAUUAAGUAGUUGGUAUUUUAAAAGAUUACCAAGCUUAUGAUCCUUAGCUGGUCUGUGAGGAUGAACAGCCACAUUGGAACUGAGAAAGGUCCAAACUUUAUAUUAAAGGCAGCAGUGAGGAAUAUUGGGCAAUGAGCAAACGCUUGACCCAGUUAGACUAUAUGUGUGAAGAAAGUAUCUUAUUGUAAAUCACUAAAACUAUUUUUAAAUUAUGAUUAUUUUAGUAAAAGUCCUGGCUAAUUUCGUGCCAGCAGCCGCGGUAAAACGAGAAGGAUAAACGUUAUUCGGAUUAAUUGGGCGUAAAGUAUACGUAGAUAGUAAAUUUAAUUUUAUGUAUAAAAAUUAAAAUUAAAUUUUAAUUUUACUUUAAAAUUGAUUUUCUAGAGUUUAAUAGAAGAUUAUAGAACUUUAAGUGUAACAGUAAAAUGUUUUGAUAUUUAAAAGAAUUCCUAUCGCGAAAGCAGUAAUCUAUAUUAAUACUGACAUUAAAGUAUUAAAGUGUGGGGAGCAAAAGGGAUUAGAUACCCCUGUAGUCCACACCCUGAACUAUGAGUGUUUAUUUUUGGGGCAUAUACCCGAAAAUAGAGUUAACACGUUAAACACUCCGCCUGGGAACUACGAUUGCAAAAUUAAAACUCAAAGGAAUUGACGGGAACCUACACAAGCAGUGGAGCAUGUGGUUUAAAUCGACAAUACGCGAAAAACCUUACCAAUUUUUGAAUAAUUAAUACAAUUACAGGCGUUGCAUGGCUGUCGUCAGUCCGUGCUGUGAAGCGUUUGGUUUAUUCCAAAAAACGGACAAAACUCUUCUACAUUUUUUAAUGUAUACUGCUAAAGACAUUUUAGAGGAAGUAAAGAAUGAUGUCAAGUCCUCAUGACCCUGAUAAAUUGGGCUACUUUCAUGUGCUACAAUGGUUUUUUCAAAAGGAUGUAUAUAUGAAAGUAAUUACAAAUCUUUAAAAUAAAAUCAUGUUCGAAUUAUUUUCUGCAACUUGAAAAUAUGAAGAUGGAAUUGCUAGUAAUCGUGGAUUAGAAUGCCACGGUGAAUAUGUACUUAGGUUUUGUACACACCGCCCGUCACGCUAUGGAAAUUUUUAUUAUUUGAAAAUUUUUAAUAAAUUUAUGGUAAUAAAAAAACUGGAGUGAAGUCGUAACAAGGUAGCCGUAGGGGAACCUGUGGCUGGAAAAUAUUUCAA